UACAGGGGGUGCAAACGUUGCUCGGAAUCAUUGGGCGUAAAGCGCCCGUAGGCGGUUCGUUAUGUCGGAUGUGAAAGCCCUUGGCUUAACCGAGGAAGUGCAUCCGAAACUGGCGAGCUAGAGUACUAAAGAGGAUCGCGGAAUUCCCGGUGUAGAGGUGAAAUUCGUAGAUAUCGGGAGGAACACCGGUGGCGAAGGCGGCGAUCUGGGUAGAUACUGACGCUGAGGUGCGAAAGCGUGGGGAGCGAACAGG
rnacentral:rRNA from 1 species